rnacentral:rRNA from 1 species
AUGGUGAUGGAGGAGGAGGUGGUGGUGCAGCCGCCGCCGUUGGGGGAGGAGGAGGCGGUGCAGGAGGUUCCGGAUCCGGAUGCGCCUGCGUUGCUCCUGGCGCAGUGGGUGACGGCGACGCUGGGGAACGCGGAGCACUACAGGCACGUCGUCGCCACCAGGGUGGAAGACUACGUCAUCCCCCGCUGCGAGGCCGCCCGCGGGACGCUCCUCGAGGUCGCGGAGGUGCUGCUCCAGGAGCCCAUCGACGCAGCGGAGACCAUCUACACCGACUUGCUCGAGGACGUGUCCAGCGGCAUGAAUUCGCUCCUCAUCGGGCCCGCCGCCAACAUCGUCGACAGCCUCUUCAACUGGCCCGGGCCGCUCGCGGGCGCCACCGACGCCGCCAGGGCCCUCGUCCACGCCACUUUCUACUACCCGGAGCCGGAGGGCGGGCCACUCGAGGAGGCCCGUCGCGAGCUCGGGUACCUCUUCGAUGUCGCCCACGCCGACGCCGCGCGCAACUUCAGCCUCUACGCCGCGAUUCUCGGUUUCAAUGCCCUACCCGGCGGCCAAGCUGCGUACGGUCGCUGGGUCGGCGACCACCUCCACGCCGACGUCCUGGCAAGGGAGGCGCUGCAGUUGCUGAACUACGCCGUCAAGAGGAGCCUUGCGGCUGACCUCGCCGUCCGUCUCUGCGGGAUCAUGCCCGCGUCCAGGGUGCGACCCGGGGCCGGGCCGCUCGUGCCGAAGGCGGCGCUGAGGCUGCAGCAGACCAUCGGCGCGGUCAACAACGUGCUGGCGGCGCUGCAGGACAUGCGAGACACCUUGGUGGACCUGGAGCAGUCCGUGCUCGACGUCACCGGCCAGGAUCCUCCGCCUCCAUGA